ACUUAAAUUGAAGAGUUUGAUCAUGGCUCAGAUUGAACGCUGGCGGCAGGCCUAACACAUGCAAGUCGAGCGGUAGCACAGAGAGCUUGCUCUCGGGUGACGAGCGGCGGACGGGUGAGUAAUGUCUGGGAAACUGCCUGAUGGAGGGGGAUAACUACUGGAAACGGUAGCUAAUACCGCAUAAUGUCGCAAGACCAAAGUGGGGGACCUUCGGGCCUCAUGCCAUCAGAUGUGCCCAGAUGGGAUUAGCUAGUAGGUGGGGUAACGGCUCACCUAGGCGACGAUCCCUAGCUGGUCUGAGAGGAUGACCAGCCACACUGGAACUGAGACACGGUCCAGACUCCUACGGGAGGCAGCAGUGGGGAAUAUUGCACAAUGGGCGCAAGCCUGAUGCAGCCAUGCCGCGUGUGUGAAGAAGGCCUUCGGGUUGUAAAGCACUUUCAGCGGGGAGGAAGGCGGUGAGGUUAAUAACCUCAUCGAUUGACGUUACCCGCAGAAGAAGCACCGGCUAACUCCGUGCCAGCAGCCGCGGUAAUACGGAGGGUGCAAGCGUUAAUCGGAAUUACUGGGCGUAAAGCGCACGCAGGCGGUCUGUCAAGUCGGAUGUGAAAUCCCCGGGCUUAACCUGGGAACUGCAUUCGAAACUGGCAGGCUAGAGUCUUGUAGAGGGGGGUAGAAUUCCAGGUGUAGCGGUGAAAUGCGUAGAGAUCUGGAGGAAUACCGGUGGCGAAGGCGGCCCCCUGGACAAAGACUGACGCUCAGGUGCGAAAGCGUGGGGAGCAAACAGGAUUAGAUACCCUGGUAGUCCACGCCGUAAACGAUGUCGAUUUGGAGGUUGUGCCCUUGAGGCGUGGCUUCCGGAGCUAACGCGUUAAAUCGACCGCCUGGGGAGUACGGCCGCAAGGUUAAAACUCAAAUGAAUUGACGGGGGCCCGCACAAGCGGUGGAGCAUGUGGUUUAAUUCGAUGCAACGCGAAGAACCUUACCUGGUCUUGACAUCCACAGAACUUUCCAGAGAUGGAUUGGUGCCUUCGGGAACUGUGAGACAGGUGCUGCAUGGCUGUCGUCAGCUCGUGUUGUGAAAUGUUGGGUUAAGUCCCGCAACGAGCGCAACCCUUAUCCUUUGUUGCCAGCGGUCCGGCCGGGAACUCAAAGGAGACUGCCAGUGAUAAACUGGAGGAAGGUGGGGAUGACGUCAAGUCAUCAUGGCCCUUACGACCAGGGCUACACACGUGCUACAAUGGCAUAUACAAAGAGAAGCGACCUCGCGAGAGCAAGCGGACCUCAUAAAGUAUGUCGUAGUCCGGAUUGGAGUCUGCAACUCGACUCCAUGAAGUCGGAAUCGCUAGUAAUCGUAGAUCAGAAUGCUACGGUGAAUACGUUCCCGGGCCUUGUACACACCGCCCGUCACACCAUGGGAGUGGGUUGCAAAAGAAGUAGGUAGCUUAACCUUCGGGAGGGCGCUUACCACUUUGUGAUUCAUGACUGGGGUGAAGUCGUAACAAGGUAACCGUAGGGGAACCUGCGGUUGGAUCACCUCCUUACCUUAAAGAA
rnacentral:rRNA from 2 species